rnacentral:rRNA from 1 species
UACGUAGGUGGCAAGCGUUGUCCGGAAUUAUUGGGCGUAAAGAGCGUGUAGGCGGUCAGGUAGGUCCGUUGUGAAAACUCGAGGCUCAACCUCGAGACGCCGAUGGAAACCAUCUGACUAGAGUCCGGAAGAGGCGAGUGGAAUUCCCGGUGUAGCGGUGAAAUGCGCAGAUAUCGGGAGGAACACCAAUUGCGAAGGCAGCUCGCUGGGACGUCACUGACGCUGAGGAGCGAAAGCGUGGGGAGCGAACAGG